CGCUAUCACUCCUACGGGAGGCAGCAGUGGGGAAUCUUGCGCAAUGGGCGAAAGCCUGACGCAGCCAUGCCGCGUGAAUGAUGAAGGUCUUAGGAUUGUAAAAUUCUUUCACCGGGGACGAUAAUGACGGUACCCGGAGAAGAAGCCCCGGCUAACUUCGUGCCAGCAGCCGCGGUAAUACGAAGGGGCUAGCGUUGCUCGGAAUUACUGGGCGUAAAGGGAGCGUAGGCGGACAUUUAAGUCAGGGGUGAAAUCCCCGGGGCUCAACCUCGGAAUUGCCUUUGAUACUGGGUGUCUUGAGUGUGAGAGAGGUAUGUGGAACUCCGAGUGUAGAGGUGAAAUUCGUAGAUAUUCGGAAGAACACCAGUGGCGAAGGCGACAUACUGGCUCAUUACUGACGCUGAGGCUCGAAAGCGUGGGGAGCAAACAGGAUUAGAUACCCUGGUAG
rnacentral:rRNA from 1 species